GAUGAAGAACGCAGCGAAAUGCGAUAAGUAAUGUGAAUUGCAGAAUUCAGUGAAUCAUCGAAUCUUUGAACGCACCUUGCGCUCCUUGGUAUUCCGAGGAGCAUGCCUGUUUGAGUGUCAUUAAUAUAUCAACCUUCUCUUUUUUGAGUUGUUUGGAUGUGGGGGUUUGCUGGCCUCUUAAAUGAUUCAGCUCCCCUGAAAUGCAUUAGCAGAACAACCUGUUCAUUGGCGUGAUAAUUAUCUAUGCUAUUGAAUGUGAGGGCAGUUCAGCUUUCUAACCGUCCUUGGACAAUUCAUCAUUAAUGUGGCCUCAAAUCAGGUAGGACUACCCGCUGAACUUAAGCAUAUCAAUAAGCGGAGGA
rnacentral:misc_RNA from 1 species